UGGGAUUAUGUAUAAUAUUAUUUUAUUAAAAAACAUGUGAUUUAUAAGAAGUGAGAGAAAAAUGAUUGUACCAGUCGGCAAAGAUGAAUCAGAAAUCGAUGAAGGCUUGUACAAGAAACUAGAUAUUGAAGGGAAAAACGGAGCUAAGUGCACACCGACAGCGAGUGUGAUGAAAAGGGCACAGCUGAAAAAAAGCAUCUUAUUCCGGCUUAAAUGCCACCCCGCCAUACCCAUUGGUACGAACAACACAAUCCCGGCUGCCAAUAAUCCAAACUGUACAGCCCCAAACAUUUCUGAUUUCAAAUCAAAAGUGACACAGAGGUGGUUUAUUUUUCAUCGGAAAAGCCGAAAAUUGAUGCAAGAUUUCGGUACAAAAGACUAAAGUUUGUUGGUUAGGGGGGAGUUUUGACGGUGAUAGACUGAUAGUGAUGGUUUAACAGGCAAAUCCAGGCUGUGCUGUGAAAUUAUAAUAGAAAUUUGUUAGGAAAAUUCGGAAAUGUAAAG
rnacentral:lncRNA from 1 species